rnacentral:rRNA from 1 species
GAUGAACGCUGGCGGCGUGCCUAAUACAUGCAAGUCGAGCGAACAGAUGAGGAGCUUGCUCCUCUGACGUUAGCGGCGGACGGGUGAGUAACACGUGGAUAACCUACCUAUAAGACUGGGAUAACUGCGGGAAACCGGAGCUAAUACCGGAUAAUAUAUUGAACCGCAUGGUUCAAUAGUGAAAGACGGUUUUGCUGUCACUUAUAGAUGGAUCCGCGCCGCAUUAGCUAGUUGGUAAGGUAACGGCUUACCAAGGCAACGAUGCGUAGCCGACCUGAGAGGGUGGUCGGCCACACUGGAACUGAGACACGGUCCAGACUCCUACGGGAGGCAGCAGUAGGGAAUCUUCCGCAAUGGGCGAAAGCCUGACGGAGCAACGCCGCGUGAGUGAUGACGGUCUUCGGAUCGUAAAACUCUGUUAUUAGGGAAGAACAAAUGUGUAAGUAACUAUGCACGUCUUGACGGUACCUAAUCAGAAAGCCACGGCUAACUACGUG